GCCCUUUCUGAAAAUGGCCGCCAGCUUCACCCCGCGGCCGCCUUGCCCGAGUGACGGCCGGGUCGCGGUCACGUGGCGGGCGGUGGGUCGUGAGGGCGGUGAGGUGCUGGGUUUGUCCGCUCGUCCUGGUCGCGUCGUGCGGUCGGCUCCUAUUGGGUCCAGGGCCUCUCAGGGUCGGUGCCGCUUAUGUACGGGACGGCGCCGGAGGGCCGGGAUCGGCGGCAGCGGGAAGGCACUGAGUUCUCUGAGAUGUGCUAUGGAAAUGAUGAGAGCUACUUCUGAGGCUGUGAGCGGUGGCUGAUGAGAGAAGCUAAAGAGAGGAACCUCAAAAUUGAACAGAUUGAUACGGAAUGAAAGGGCAUUUCAUAGAAAAUGGAUGAAGAAGAGACCUUCAUCCUGUGACAACUUUGCUUCCUGACCUCUCGAGGUAGCUGCAGGCAUGAAGCACUAACAGGAACACGGGAUCCUUAGACUUUUUUUUUUUUUUUUUUAAUCUGAAGAUUUUAUUUUGAACUUUGUAAGUCCGUGUAUGCUAUGGAGGGCAUUUUAAAGGAGGCUGCAGUUGAACCGUACAAAUUCGUCUUCUUAAUGGCUGGAAAACAGCUUAAUUUGUAAGUCAGAGAUCUGGAAUUCCUUCAGACUCUCAAGUGAAGUUCCAGUGGAUAUGAUGUCCUUUAAUUAUUGUUGUACAGCUCCAAGCUUUCACUGCAUGGUCUGAUUUACUUUUUCCAUAAAGUAAGAGCUCUGUAUUUUAACUGUGCAAAAGUCAAUAACCUCAUUUAGAACAUCAGUUGGAAAGAGACAGUAUUUCACAUCAGUUAACACUGUGCUGUCACUGUUUCCUUCCCUGCACACCCUUCUUUGGAAGCUCACUUCUCUUUGAGUUAUGUUAUGCUGAAGUGGAAUCUUAAUAUAAGUUCUACUAUAUGCAUUAUUCAUGUCCUUGUUGCUGCUUUGAGGCUAAGAAGGAAAUGCAUUUCUUCUCAAAAGAAAGUAAGGGUUAAUCUGUGUGUGAAGAAAACUGCUGAUUCUUUUUUUCGUCUCCAUGCACAACUUUGCAGGAAUUGGGUCCCUUCUGCUUAAAAUCAGCCAGUCAGCUGCUAUUAAAAAAGUUCUUUUAGUUUUUGUAUGCUAUACAAGGUCAGUUGUGUCAUUUGUCCGUGGCAGCAUCUGCAGCUAUUUCAUUCAGUGAUUAGUUUUAGCAGAAUAAUACAGAAAAUGGCGUAUAGCAGUUAAAUGUGACAUGACAUUAGGAGGGAAAAGCCCUCUGUAACUUAAGUGUCUUUCAUGAGGCUGGCAUAGAUAACAUUCUGCCUGCUCCUGAAAAAUGGGAGUGCUCUCCUCUGAAACACUUUAUCCUUAUUUAUAUGUAAGGCUGUGUGAUACACUUGUAGUCUGUUAAACUGAUCUAUGGUCAAAGUUUAUAGCAGGACAGGUAAGCAGGAAUUGUAUAAAGAAACUUCCUUAGGCAUUGAGCUAAUAAACUUUGAUCACUUGCAAGAGGCUUUUUGAGAAAUAGCAAUUAUAAUAUGGUGGUGCAUAACUAAUUUUUCUGUGGUGGUUUAUUCCUGAUUUGCCUACAGUAGGCAGGAGUUGCACCUCAGCGAGUUUAUAGUGCUUUAGGAAACAUGCAUUGCAUACUUUAAUUACAUAGACACGUUUUACAUACGGACUUGUAUUACUCACUUCCACCACUUUGUUUUCAGAGAAACUGGUGAGAUCCAGAAGCUCACUGGGGCUUUGAUUACUUUUCUGUUACAAUAAUGUCUGGAUUCUCAGUUCCCAUUUAGUUGUGAUGGCAGUGCAGUGUUUGGGAAGCAUGCAGCCAGCUGACUUGUUCUUCUCAUCCUGGGUUUUGUCGCACGGCGGUCAUGUUUUGCAGAGUUAUACUACAUCUGAUUAUUGACUUCUGGAUAGAAAUGUGUACGAUGUGCUCGUUACCUUUGUAUUAUCAGCAGUCUUCAUUAGGGAGGAGGUCUUGUGAAGGAAAUGAGCUUUGGUUGGGUGUUGGUCACUGUCAGUGAGUCGCUCUGCAGCUCUUGCAGCCCACCCAGUGUGCCUUUUGCAGCUGAGCUUGUCAAGGUGUACAAAAAGAGCUGAGUUGGGUACUAAGCUGUAAAUGCAGCUGCAUGUUUCAACUGGGACCUUGUGCUGUAUCUUGCUAUUGACAAUAAGUAUUUAAAGCUUGACCUAAGGCAGUACAAGACUGUGCUGCUUCUCUUUUAGCACCUUAAGGUUACUGUUACAGGUCACCAAGGGCAAUAUUAGAAUGAAGCUUUGCGUUAGCAAGCUGUGGAGGUGGCGUGAUGUACGUAAAGCUAGGUUUACUUAUGCUGCUGUGUUCUAAAGAAAUAAUCUUUUACUCAUGCGAAUGCUGCAUUAUGUUACAGAUUGCUCUGUAAUGCAACCUUUUCUGUUCUACUGGUAUUAUCUCAAUGCAAGUGUGCUUUUCACUUUCAGUUUGGAGGAGAGGAAUUACUGCAGCUGUUUGUACUUCUAGGCCUUGAUUUUUCUUUUUGUGAUAAGUGCUCUUCUUAAUAUAUUGGGUAGGCCUCUCUAUCCUGGGACAAAACCAGUGCCAAACGCCUGAGUAACUCAGCAGGAACUGCGGGCUGUGGAGAUGGCAGAACCUUCAGCAAUGCAGCAGUGCAGGAUGUUGAGCUCGGAUCCUAAAGCAAACCUGCGUGAACGGAAACGUGAGCUCAUAAGUGUUGUGCACUACUGAUAGCUUUUAAAGCUGCGUGCGUAAGGACUGCCUAAGGUACUGCACAGCACAUCCAUCUGCUGUGUCAGGACAAGAGAGAAACUGCAGCUCACUCCUCUGUCAGCCUGAACUCAGAAAUGCUGAGGUGUCAGGACAGCUGUCCUUAACUUCUGUGAGAAAAAUGUUGUGUAAGUUGUAUGGCAUUUUUGAGUUACGUUUUCACCUUGGCCUAUGCAGCUGAGUUCAGGUAUCAUUCAGAUUCUGAAGAUCUAUUCAAAAGGGGGAUGUUCUUGAGAACUAGCACGAAAAACACAGGAGGAAAAGAACAUCAUAAAGUUAAUCUAGCUGUAUGUUUCUUAGGGUCUCUCUCAGGUUGUGUGUCUCCAGUUACAAAUAAUAGGUAUGAGGGUUUUGUUGUCUGGGGUAUCUAUCCAGCCUAAAAAACAGACUAGCAAACAGACUUUCUUAUAACUUUUUCUAACAGCUGCGUUGGUUAGGAGGUACAGCUGGAGGCUGUAACCGUCAGUUGCUCUUUUCAUUUAAUGUUCAGUUUUUUGUGGUGGUACAGGCAGAGAAUGUAUUGGUUUUUCUUUAUUAAAGUUCUCAACACUGGGAAUUGGUUCAGGAAGUGGAUUUGCUGUCUUUUCCUUUCCUGUGGGUUUGUUCUGUCUGUUUUGUGGGGGGAAGGAUGGUUGGGUGAGGGGGAAGGUUGCUUGUUGGAUUGUUUUCCCAUGUUUUAUCUGGGAACAUUGUUUUUGCAUUGGAAGAUAUUUUUAUUUUUAGCCAGGAAGCUGUUUCUCCACUGUGUGGUGGAGAAAACGAGGUGUAGAUGGUUGUACUAACUUGGUGUAAUGCUAUGCAUAUGAACAACAAACCGAUUUUCCCAGAAUGACUUUGUGUAACUCAGCAGCUGAUUGCUAUGAAGGAUUCCCCUUUGGUCAGUGUGUGCCAGUGAGGGCACAAGAGCCUCAGGGUGGGUGCUGCGCCUGUUUGGGUGAGAGGUAGGAAGUAUGCAUCCCUGUAUUGUCAGAGAGCUUUACUGAGUCUUUUUUCUCUAGCUGUGUUAUUUUUUGUAAAGCAUGAAAGCAGUUCUGUGGAAAGUGUGAUAAAUAAGCCUUCUUUUUCUUUAAGGUAAUUCAAUAGGAAGCAGAAAGAUCUAAGAGCAAGCAAAUUUGACCACUAGGCAUGUGCAGAAAUAAGCUACUGCCUGCUAUUGUUAUUGCUAUUAGAGUACUUUGAUCUGAAGUACCUGCUGAGGUUAGUGUGCUUUCCAUGUUCUUUUUUGCUCAUUUUAUUUUAUCCUUAAGUAGACAUUUGAUAUCUUUCAGUUUGAGAAAAUAGAAUGAAGUACCUCCGUAUUCUUAUCCCACUUGAGAUUGUUGUCUAAGUCAGCAUUUCUUUGUGUGUGGGAAAAGGGAAAUACUUUGUCAUGCUGGCUUCUGAAAACGUGGCUUGGCAAUUACUGUGCAAGUUCUUAGUAGUCUUGUGCUGUCUGUGCCACAGUUCUGCAGAGAGGCGGCACAUACAGUGCCAUUAAGAUGAAGGCAAAUGCCUUAAUUUUCAUUCUUCUGCUCAUUACUGCAUAUGUAACACUGUUCAAGAAAAUGACUGUCAUGUCAUCUGAACAGUUCAGAACACCUGGGCAGCUCUUCCCAUUUCCAUGUUACUUCAGACUUUCCUGAGGUCACAUUCCUCUUUUCUGCUCGCUCACACUAAGAAACCCCGACAAACAGCUCUACCUCCUAUAGUCAGUUAUUCCGUAGGGAGAAGCCCUUCUGUACUUUCUUUUGCUGGUCUCUUUACUCUGUCUGCCACAGAACUGAUGUUUUAAGAUGUGCUUAGUAUAAUUCUGUAAUCAUCUUCUAUGGGUAGAAUUUGUUUUGGAAAUGUGGUUACUUUACGUUGGAAAUAAUUUUUGUAUGUGAAAUUAAUUUGCUUGGACUAGAAAUCACAGAUAUUUUACUAAGAUGAAACAGAACAGAAAUUGGAAGAAAAUAAUUGCAUCUCAGCACAUGCAGCAUAGUUUACUCAGCCAGGCUGGUUGUACUUGUGAGUGGACGGACACUUAGAAGGAGGUGGAAGCUCUGCAGCUCUGACAGAUGGCCCAGAAAACCUUAUUGUCAUAAUCAAAGCUAUGGUAAUGUACAUCAACAAAAAUGGAAUAAACAAAGGAAAUGUUCUGUUACAAAGAGCCAGCUUUGAUUUAUGCCGUAUCUGUGAAUAUCCUGUACAGUGCUUAUGUAGCUGUGUUACCGAGACCACCAGAAGUCUUUUUUUCUACCUAAACUUUGUAUGUAGUUGUAUCAUAAAUUAACUUUAAUUUGAUUGUGUACUGGAGGAGGAAUUUGUGUUUGUUUUUUUUUUUUUUUUAAACAGCAGUAUUAAAAAUACAUAGAGUUUAUAUAAUAGCAGUCAUUACUGGGACAGUGGAAUAAAUAGUUGCGGGUUGAUCCUGUGUUGCUUUUUAUUCUUCAUGUACAGUAUGUGUUUCAAAAGAAUAUUGGCGUCUGGUAGAUUCUAGUAAUGUCUAUUCCUUCUGUUCCUUUCUUUAUUCAGACACUUAAUCACUCUCAAUCUGUCAGGCUUCCCCUGCCUCAUUUCUGAUCUUUGCCUCAGCGAGCAGCUUUCUACCUCAGAGUCUUUUAGGACAGGGUUACACACACACCUACAGGACUCUCUCCUGCUGUGUCAUGAGGAUCAGACCCAACCCCAUGGCUGUGUGAACUCUUCAAACCGCAGAGGUAAGGUUCCUCAGCACAGCUGGAUCCACUCCUAGUCCCAGAUGUGUUCAGGAGUUUGUGUCUCAGGGAUCCUAUGUGCACAAAGAUACGACAUAUAAUCUGUAUAAUGGACUAUUUGCAUGUGAGGAGGCAGUUUAUAAUCAUGCAGAUGUUCAGCCACUGUUCUGUGGCAAAUGGUUGGACUGUGCAGUUUGUAGAUUGCCCUAAGGCAAUCUACAGAAAGUAUCUUGUCACCCCUGCCAUGUUCCUCUGCAAUUGGGAUGGUGGAAAAUGCACUAGCUACAUCAAUUACAGCAUACCCGCUUCUGGAAUGCUACUGAACCUCUUCUCUUAAAGCAAUGGUUACCUGCUACAGCCGCUGUGAGAGGUGGGGUGUGCUUAUUUAAUUCCCUCCACGACCCAUCACUUUUUGACAGGCCAUAUUGGAUUGUUCCAAGCUGCAGUAGUUGACUUAAAACUCCUGCAUCCAAUAAAUCAUUAAUUGUCCUUGAUAUCUCUUCAUGCCAACCCCCAGGGUGCUAUAUUGUUUCAUUGUCACUACUUCAGUUGCAGGAGGAAUCUGCGCAGCAGGCAUUUUUACUUUUCCCACUAAAAUUGUCAGAGCACUAAUGCAAUUCUUUAUUCCAAAUUGGUGCUGACCGCUGGGAAGAUUCAAGGUGAGUCCUUUUGGAAUACCUAUCCCUGUGAUGUUUUCUGGGACAAGGACAAUCAUGACAGGAUACAAUCACUUCAGGAGGUUUCCUGUUUUCAUUUGUAUUUGUGUUUUCACAGGUUGCAUUUGUUUCCCUCCCAACCCUAUUACUGAUUGUCCUUCAGAUUUCUUGGGGUUCCCAUAUACUAAGGAGGCCUCUGCUCCGGGGUCGUUUGAGGCUCUGCAGUUUGUGAGGACCAGGUUUUCCAAAAUAUCUCCUUCCAAGGAUACAAAUUGGAAUAUCGUUCCCAAUCGUUCUCCCCCAAAACAGCCAACCCACUUGCAUCGGGCGCUCUGCAAAUAGGUAAGACGUCCCAUUGAGUGCAGUAGGUGGAAUUGUUCCCGGGUCUUUUGCUUUAGAAUUUGGCACCUUCUUGCUAGGGUUUAUUUAACCCUCUGUGUUUAUGUGUCCUCUAUAAUUCAGGAAGUGGAAAACCAUCAGUCUUAUCAUGAGAAAUCUGGUCUCUUAAGAAAGCUGUAUUAAUUAUUUUCAAGAAAUCCUAUUUUCACUGCCUUUCUGCUCUUUCCUCUUGUCCAUUCUCCCCUGCCAUCUCCUUCUUUCCCCUGGAGGGCUGCCAGGAGAUUCUGUCAGCGGCCUGGAGUAGGGACAGGGGAGAGAAGGAGACAGAAGAGGGACAGGCAGAGACAGGGGCAGGAU